rnacentral:lncRNA from 1 species
AUGAGACGGACAGACAGGCAGCUCCCAGGGAAAAGGAAGCUACCCAAUGCCCCUGCAGAUUCUGUGUGUAUUACAGAAGUCACAGGAAGAAAAAAAGCAGAACAAAACUGGUUGCGGGGUAAGGACCAUGUUGACAUUAACCCCCUUGCUAAUGCUAUAAAGGCACCACUGGAGCGCAGCACGCUCAACAGCCAUGAAAACUUGUUGAGAUGCAUGCACAGCUCCUCUGUGUACAAAUGCCAGAUUUCAUCCAUCUUAGCUUGUGCCCAUGCGGGCAAGGAGCAGACUCUCUUCCUCAAAACGCUGUCAAGAGAGGGAAAGAGGCAGCAAGUGCAUCAGUGUAGCUGGUGGAAAUCCAGAUCUGUUGUGUUACAGAUCAGAGCUGGGCGGGAUGUGGUUUGCUCCAUUGAGAGAGCAUUUCAUGGCAGUGCAGGCAGCUGGGUUAGCCCCAUCCGCACCUCUGUCCCCAUAUCCAUGCCAGCCCUGGGGGCAGAAGAGGGUGGCAGUGGCAGCGCAUGGCCCCGCAGCACAUCUGUGGCCUGGCAGUGUGUGCUGCAUGCCUGGCCCUCCGGAAGACAGGAAGUCGGCAGAGACAGGCAGCUGAGGGACAGGCAGGAGACAGGAACAAGGUCAGCACAAAUGCAGGAACCCCGGCCUCGACAGCAGACAAAGAUACAAGUCUUGGCUGGAUGGAGUUCUGAACAGAAGCGAAGCUGUCUGCACUGUGGAAAGAGGCCAUUUGUCAGAAAGUGUUCUGCUUGGGUCCUAAGCAGCAAAAUGCAUGUGUGA